rnacentral:tRNA from 1 species
GGGAAGGUGGCUCAGUGGUAAAGUGCUUGCCUUGCAUGCAUGAGGCCCUAGGUUCAAUUCCUCAGCAUCACA